CAAACACUUCUAAAAGCUAAUUUAUACACUAUGGAGGGAAUUGAGAGAGACUCGGAUAACAAUACCAGUCUCUAUUACACACGAAUCAAGAGACAGGCGAAUAUAAACGCUGCUCAACAAUAGUCCAGACGUCUGUGCAAUGUAUGGAUGACUUCGGUCAAAUUGGGAAGAAAUGGACAGAUGAACGAGGGAGGCUCUGGGAUUAUGACUUCACGGCAAGUUAAAACUGAAGAUGCACAGUCGUAUACAUCUUCAUCACUGGGCUGGCAUCAACUCAUCUUGAUGGAACAGGGUUCCUUGAGGCAGUACAUGCUACACUACAUCUUCUCCCAGCACUUCCCCUGUUAGAAGCUACUGCUGAUAAUGGAGGGAUGUCCAUCACAGCCCCAUUAAACCUUAGCAGAUGUUGAUCAGAGAGAUAGGCGGGGUGGAGGGAGCAGAAGGCUGAUAAGGUGAAAGUAAGUAGUUGGUCCACUUUACAGAGAGCAUCUUAUUCUAUAUUACA